CCCGACUGCUAUUUGGGUGAGGAUAAGCCAUGCGAGUUGAAUGGGAAACCUAAAAAUCCCAUGGCAAACUGCUCAGUAACACAUGAUCAACUUACCCUAUAGAGGAAAAUAACCUCGGGAAACUGAGGAUAAUGUUCCAUAGUUGAAUCGGCUUGGAAAAGUUUUUCAAUUAAAGGGAUAAGGAAAAUGGUUCUUAUCUGCUAUAGGAUAGGAUCGUGCUCGAUUAUGGUUGUUGGUGAGGUAAAGGCUCACCAAGCCGAUAAUCGAUAGGGGCCGUGAGAGCGGGAGCCCCGAGAUGGGUACUGAGACAACGACCCAGGCCUUACGAGGCGCAGCAGGCGCGAAACCUCCGCAAUACACGAAAGUGUGACGGGGUUACCCAAAGUGUUCUAUUUAGAACUGUGGUAGGUGAGUAAUGUUCCCUACUAGAAAGGAGAGGGCAAGGCUGGUGCCAGCCGCCGCGGUAAAACCAGCUCUUCAAGUGGUCGGGAUAAUAUUGGGCUUAAAGUGUCCGUAGCCGGUUUAGUAAGUUCCUGGUAAAAUCGGGUAGCUUAACUAUCUAUAUGCUAGGAAUACUGCUAUACUAGAGGGCGGGAGAGGUCUGAGGUACUACAGGGGUAGGGGUGAAAUCUUAUAAUCCUUGUAGGACCACCAGUGGCGAAGGCGUCAGACUGGAACGCGCCUGACAGUGAGGGACGAAAGCCAGGGGAGCGAACCGGAUUAGAUACCCGGGUAGUCCUGGCCGUAAACGAUGCAUACUAGGUGAUGGUACGGCCAUGAGCCGUAUCAGUGCCGUAGGGAAACCGUUAAGUGUGCCGCCUGGGAAGUACGGUCGCAAGGCUAAAACUUAAAGGAAUUGGCGGGGGAGCACCACAAGGGGUGAAGCCUGCGGUUCA
rnacentral:rRNA from 1 species